GCUGUGAUGGAAGAGUAUGGCACAGACAGACCUCUAGUUCUCUCAGCGGAGUUAUGAGUCUGGUUAAGUGUUGGGAAUGGAGCCUUGCUGCAAGCAACAAGGCUCCAUCUUGAAAGGUCAUAACCGGUUUGUUCCUUUGUCUUACACUUCCCAACCUCUAAAAUGUUAACUUUUUAAUUGUUUUGUUUCGUUUGUUUGGUUUUUGAGACAUUUUGUUUCUCUGUGUAGCGCUGGCUACAUGACUGGAGUUUGAAAGAAUCUUAUGGUGAACUGUGGUGAAACCAUGACAACAGCAGCAUGGGGAGGAGAGUAAAAUAAACACGGACAUAUUGUUGGUGGGCAAAAUUAGAAUCCUUCCAGUUAACCCCAUUCUGGUUGAUGCUUAUUAGUUGCUUCCUGUUCAAUACUCUCCCUCUUCUCUCCUCUCCAACUCUCCCCUCCCAGUGUCAGUUCCCUUUCUCUCCACCCCUUCUCUCCCUCCCUUUUAUAGGCUCCCAAGUAGUUUAGGCUGAUUCCAACUCUGAAUUUUCCAUCCUUCUUCUUUGUACGAGAUCACAGGUGUAUGCUAGCAUCACAUGUGACCUGGUUCUCUCUUCCUAGGUUUGAAAUGCACAAUGAAGAGAAAUAAAAGCAGAAAGAUCUCCAGAAAGAAUCCAUGAUGAGAUUCAAGGUUUCACAGUCCAAGCUAAUGUCCGUGGAAACUUUCAGUGACCCAAGAACAUUGCACUCCUGGCAAAAGAAGUGUGGCAACACUAAGGCAAGUAUCUGCUUGAACAGAAAGAUGAUACAGAAAUACAGAAUGCAGGAGGAAGGAAUAGGAAGGACCCAACAAACUUGA
rnacentral:lncRNA from 1 species